UCAAAUCCCCAUUCGUCAGAUUCUCUUCUUCUAGGGUUUGAUCAACAACGUCGUCAUGGAAGAAGAAAUCGUUCCAACUCUUCCUUUGCCGGAAGCCUUUCUCAAUUUCCUGAACGAAAAUGGUUUAGAUUCUUCAAUCUAUUCUUCUACAACUACAAAUACCACUCCGCGUUAUAUCAGAGUAAAACCAAGUGAAGGUGAAGCUCAUAUUCCAGAACUUGAAGCUGAAAUCAAUUGUAAACUUGAUAAAGUUGAUUGGUUGCCCAAUUUCUAUUCUAUACCACCACAUAUUCAAAUUGCUUCGACCAAUUCUUAUCGACAAGGAAAUGUGUAUGGAAUGGAUGCAGUAUCUGGAGCUGCUGUUUUAGCUUUGAAUGUUGUGCCGGGUGAUCAUGUGCUUGAUCUUUGUGCUGCCCCAGGUGCUAAGUUAUGUAUGCUCGCAGAUCUUCUUGGUUCCAGUGGUUCCUUAACCGGUGUUGACAUUGCAAAACAUCGUUUAGCAGCCUGUCGCACAAUGCUACAGAAAUAUUCACUGAGUGAUCAUUGUCGUCUCUUUGUUGCUGAUGGGACAUCAUUUUCUCUCGUUCCAUUGAGGGUUAGUGAAUCUGGGAACAAGUCUUUGAAAUCUACGGAUACACUUUUGUGUGAGGAUACAAUGGAUACAUAUAAAGAGUGGACGUCGAAGAGAUCCUGGAAAGAAAGGAAAAGAGCUCAAAAAGAGAGGAAUGGGAUUACAUCGCAUUUAGCAGCCUGUCGCACAAUGCUACAGAAAUAUUCACUGAGUGAUCAUUGUCGUCUCUUUGUUGCUGAUGGGACAUCAUUUUCUCUCGUUCCAUUGAGGGUUAGUGAAUCUGGGAACAAGUCUUUGGCAUUUAUGUUUUACACAGAAAUCUAUGGAUACACUUUUGUGUCGAAUUACCAAAGAUUAGUUCAGAUAGUUCCAAAGUCUCAUGAACCUGAACUAAUCUUCUAUGGUCGACAAUCAGGAGUAGUUGGACUUAGUAAAAGGGAAAUAUUGCAAGCUGCGUCUGGCAACGAUCUCUCAGACACUGGUUAUGAUAAGGUUCUGGUGGAUGCAGAGUGUACUCAUGAUGGAUCAAUUAAGCACAUUCAGAAGUUUGAUCAGUGGGGUUGGAAAACUCUUCAACAUGGAGUGCUAGAUGCGGAAAGAACUGACACCUUGGCUAAUCUUCACGCAACUAUUGCAACUUCUUAUUAAUGGUUUCAGAUUAUUAAAAGUUGGUGGCAUGCUUGUUUACAGCACUUGCAGUUUGACAGUGGCUCAAAAUGAGGAUAUAGUGGAGCAAUUUUUAUCUGCUCAUCCUUCUGCUGAAUUGCAGGAGAUUGAUGCUGCAAAGAACUGGUCAUGUAAGAGCGGAAAGGUACCAAAGACCUUGCGGUUUGAUCCUUUGACUUCCAACACCAGUGGACUUUUUGUUGCUAGUUUCACAAAAUUGGGAGUGUAACUAGAUUCGGAAAUUCUCUUAUAAAAAUCCAAGUUCCACUGCAUUAUAUUGGCACCUGGUGAUGAAUGACUCAACACCAUUCGAAAUUAAACUAGAAGCGGUAUUUGGUAAUGCAGGAAUGGUGAAAAUUUGCCACUACUGUAUAGACCAAGUAGAGGUGCCUUGAUGGCAAGGGCUUCAUGUUGAUCCAACAUGUCCUGGUUUGCGUACAAUUACAGCAGAGCUUCUUGUUGCGCCACUGGAGGAAGAGGAGAAAGCCUCUGCAUCCAUUUUCACACUCACUGGUUCACAGAAAUCCUGAAUAUUUAAGACGUCUCAAGUGAUGAUUGUCCAAGUACGUUCUAAUCGGAGUCACCAGGUGUCUUAAGUGAUGAAAUCCUAGUCAGUGUCACCAGGUGUCAACUAAACAUUUCCUUCUCAGUGCUACAUUUGUGAGGUGAAGGUAACCUCCUACAUUUGUGCCGGUCCUCUCAAGUUAUGCAUUUAUCUUUCCUUUCGGUUAGGUUCUAAUCAAUUGGAUAAGCCAGUACCUUUGCAGAACUUGGAUUUUCUUGGUCGAAAAUGUACCCUUGUUUUGGGGAAAGGUGAUGCACUUAAUAAUAAUUAUUGUGGUCUAA